rnacentral:lncRNA from 1 species
CAUUCUAAAGGAUCUUGUCUGGAUGCCAGAAGCUGUGUAUAGGAUGAGAGCCUGGUGGACCUGAUUGACCUCCUGUUGUCCAGUUCAGUUCAGAGACUGAAAAUCAGGAUUUGUGCUGGAGAGUCUUUGAACUGUGUGUGAAAGUAUCUGAAGGUCCAUGACAAUUUGAAAGAGGCACAUGAAAAAGGUGCAGGAAUCGAAGGCACGAGAUACACCUGAAAGUGGUGGAGCAAUGAAUCUGAACAGGAUGAUGGAUUGAAAGUGCUCAAAAGAGGCAGCUAGGAUCCUGUAUUCAUGUCCUACCGCUACAGCCAGGGAAAGAUCCUCCCACAUCUAUCAGAAGACUGGAGGAUUAUGUCUGGAGAGAUUGAAUUCUAGGGAUGCUCAGGCCCAAAUGAAGUUUGAGCACACAAUGAAAUGAGUUGAUAUUGACUGUUGGGAACCAGAGUUCUCAGUGGAUGAAGAGACACAGAAAAAUAAAAUGGAGGAAGGCAAAGAAGAUCUCUGAAGAGAUGGAUUGGAAUUGGAAGCAUUAGUAUGAACCAUGAUUCUAAAAUAGUUAUAUAUUGAUGUCUAUGCUUGUAUAUAUCCAGA